GCCUAGUACGGCGAGUGAACAGGCAAGAGCUCAGAUUUGAAAGGCACUUUUGUGCCGUUGUAUUCUGAAGUUAGGGUCCUGAGAAACGAUGCUUAAGUCUUCUGGAAAGGAGCGCCAUGGAGGGUGAUAGCCCCGUCUAGCAUUGACCUCAUAUAGGAUCUUAACAUGGAGUCGAGUUGUUUGGGAAUGCAGCUCAAAUGGGUGGUAUGCUCCAUCUAAAGCUAAAUAUCUGCGAGAGACCGAUAGUAAACAAGUACUGUGAGGGAAAGAUGAAAAGAACUUUGAAAAGAGAGUGAAAAAGUACGUGAAAUUGUUGAAAUGGAAGGGUAGGCCGCUAACCAUGUAGAGCCGUGUUUGGGGGGAAGAUAAAUGCUGUAGAAUGUAGCUCCUCGGAGUAUUAUAGAUGCAGUUCAUAUUCCCACCCGAGCGCGAGGAUCUCAGGUUCUACUAAAUGGUGGUCUACCACCCGUCUUGA
rnacentral:rRNA from 1 species